UUCCUACGGGAGGCAGCAGUGGGGAAUAUUGGACAAUGGGGGGAACCCUGAUCCAGCGACGCCGCGUGAGUGAAGAAGUAUUUCGGUAUGUAAAGCUCUAUCCGCAGGGAAGAAAAUGACGGUACCUGACUAAGAAGCCCCGGCUAACUACGUGCCAGCAGCCGCGGUAAUACGUAGGGGGCGAGCGUUAUCCGGAUUUACUGGGUGUAAAGGGAGCGUAGACGGCAUGGCAAGUCUGGAGUGAAAGCCCGGGGCCCAACCCCGGGACUGCUCUGGAAACUGCCAUGCUAGAGUGCUGGAGAGGG
rnacentral:rRNA from 1 species